GUGCUCGCUUUGACAGCACACAUACUAAAAUUGGAAUGAUACCGAGAUGAUUAGUAUGGCCCCUGCGUAAUGAUGAGACGCAAACUCGUGAAGCAUUCCAUAGCUUU
ensembl:snRNA U6 U6 spliceosomal RNA